AUUGAACGCUGGCGGCAGGCCUAACACAUGCAAGUCGAGCGGAGCGGCGGACGGGUGAGUAAUGCCUAGGAAUCUGCCUGGUAGUGGGGGAUAACGUCCGGAAACGGGCGCUAAUACCGCAUACUAUCAGAUGAGCCUAGGUCGGGUACGCUAGUGGGUGGGGUCAAGGCCUACCAAGGCGACGAUCCGUAACUGGUCGGAGAGGGUGAUCAGUCACACUGGAACGGAGACACGGUCCAAACACCUACGGGAGGCGGCAGUGGGGAAUGUUGGAAAAUGAGCGAAAGCCUGAGCCGGCCAUGCCGCGUGUGUGAAGAAGGUCUUCGGAUUGUAAAGCACUUUAAGUUGGGAGGCGUUACCAACAGAAUAAGCACCGGCUAACUUCGUGCCAGCAGCCGCGGUAAUUC
rnacentral:rRNA from 1 species